rfam:Shimwellia blattae DSM 4481 = NBRC 105725, complete genome.
CCAGAUCUCCAUUGUUUCUUACGGUAAAGAAAAACCAGCAGUGCUGGGUCAUGACGAAGCAGCCUAUGCUAAAAACCGUCGUGCCGUACUGGUUUACUAAGAGAAUGACAUGAUCAGUAACUUCAGACCUCACCUGUUG